rnacentral:pre_miRNA from 1 species
AUAAUACUUCUUCGGUCCCAUAUUAAGUGACUUUGUAUUACAUGUAUCUAGACGCUUUUUAGGCAUAGAUACAUCCAUAUUUAGGCAAAUUUGAGUCACUUAAUAUGCGACGGAGGGAGUAUGAG